GUCUACAGCCAUACCCUCCUGAACAGGCCUGAUCUUGUCUGAUCUCAGAAGCCAAGCAGGGUCAGGCCUGGUUAGUACUUAGAUGGGAGACAAAAAGAUAACAUCAUUUCUACAUACG
rnacentral:rRNA from 1 species